rnacentral:tRNA from 1 species
GGGUCAGUAGCUCAGCUGGUUAGAGCACUCGGCUGAUAACCGAGAGGUCGCACGUUCGAGUCGUGCCUGACCCA